rnacentral:rRNA from 1 species
CCUACGGGAGGCAGCAGUGGGGAAUAUUGCACAAUGGGGGAAACCCUGAUGCAGCGACGCCGCGUGAGUGAAGAAGUAAUUCGUUAUGUAAAGCUCUAUCAGCAGGGAAGAAAAUGACGGUACCUGAGUAAGAAGCCCCGGCUAACUACGUGCCAGCCGCCGCGGUAAUACGGAGGGGGCAAGCGUUAUCCGGAUUUACUGGGUGUAAAGGGGGCGUAGACGGCAGUGCAAGUCUGGAGUGAAAGGCGGGGGCUCAACCCCCGGACUGCCCUGGAAACUGUACGGCUGGAGUGCAGGAGAGGUAAGUGGAAUUCGUGGUGUAGCGGUGAAAUGCGUAGAUAUUAGGCGGAACUCCAGUGGCGAAGGCGGCUUACUGGACUGUAACUGACGUUGAGGCACGAAAGCGUGGGGAGCGAACAGGAUUAGAUACCCGUGUAGUC